rnacentral:misc_RNA from 1 species
CUGGCACCAAACAGGCUUCCUCUCUUUCCCUCCAAAUUUUCUCUCUCUCUAUAAAAUCCUUCCAUUUCUUUUACCUCGCCCUCUGCUAAAAAAAAUCAAAGAGAAGAGUAGAUUCGUUCUCUGUUCUCUACUAACUGGUUCAGUAAGAAAAGUGUAAUAAUAGUAUCGAGAAGAAAUGCAGAACGACGCUGCCUCCACCACCGCUAACGACGAUCUCAACAUUGCUACCGAAUCCCAAGAAUUUCUCCCAAACGAAGUCGAUUUCACCUCCAUAUACUGUCCCAAAUCGUCCCACACUCUCACGCCUUACCUGGACUCUCGCUUUGUGACGCAACAGCAGGACCUGAUAAACCGCAGUGCUCUUUGCCUCACGCGCCUUCGCGAGGCCGCCAGAGAAGUAGAGUCCCUACGCCUGGAGAACGCUGCUCUCCGAUCUGUCAACCGCGAGCUCAACAACCAACUGAGCUUCGUAAUUCAAUCCUCGGUCCAGAAACAUUGCCUCUCCUCUGACUGCAACACCACUCCAUUCGAGAUCUUGAAUGGCUUCCACAAUUUGUGCAACAUUGGAGGUGAUGGAGGAGAAGAACUGUGCGAAGACGAAAUUCCUACGAGCGUAAAGGAGAGGGAGACCGUGGACGCGACGGAUAGAGCAUCUUUGCCUAAGAGUAUUUCUGUGAGGUCCAAUGGAUACUUGAAGACGAGCCAGGCUGGCGUGAGCAAGACCAGGGGAGCGACUCGGCCUAAAACUGCGAGUCCAAUCAAUGGAACGGAAAAAGAUAUAGAACAUUUUGAUAAAUUUCAUUUGAUGGAGUUUACCAUGAUGAGAGGACCUCUGAGUUGCACGAGUGAUCACUCCCCCGACAGAAAAGUGAGGCUGAUCGGCGAUCGCACGUGGUUUUGGCCAUAUUCUUUUCGUUUCUUGAAGAUUAUAAUUGAAAUGUACAAUUUUUUUUGAGAAAUUAAUUCUGCAAGAAAUGGAGGAAAUCGUAGAUAGUUAGAAAUUGGGCCUGAGUGUAAUUGAAUUCGCAAUAAAAUGGAACACAUUGAGCCAAGGAGCGGAAGGUCCAUGUGAGUGAGGCAAGAAAAACGACAGUGACAUGGAGAUGGAAAUGUAGAGGUUAUUCUUGCUCUAUUUGGAAAGAGAGUAUAAUAAAAUUUUUUGAACUGCAAUUUUUACUAAUUUUUAUUAUUUAAAAAUAAAAAAUUUUAAAGUAUUUAAAAGU